rnacentral:rRNA from 1 species
UACAGAGGGGGCUAGCGUUAUUCGGAAUUAUUGGGCGUAAAGGGCGCGUAGGCGGCCACGCGUGUCUUUCGUGAAAUCCCUCGGCUUAACUGAGGACGUGCGGAAGAAACUGCGAGGCUUGAGUCCGGGAGAGGGGGGUGGAAUUCCCAGUGUAGCGGUGAAAUGCGUAGAUAUCUGGAGGAACACCGGUGGCGAAGGCGGCAUCCUGGACCGGCAUUGACGCUGAGGCGCGAAAGCCAGGGGAGCAAACGGG